GCUGACACGUCCCGGACAAUCUCCAGCAGACCCUCCCUCCCUGGACCCUCCUACUUCCUACUUCCUCCCUCCCAGACCCUCCUACUUCCUGGACAGCAUCCAUGUUUCAACAUGGAUGCUGUUCAGGAAGUAGGAGGGUCUGGGAGGGAGGGUCUGCUGGAGAUUGGCCGGGACGUGUCAG